AGCAUACAGGGCUGGGGGCUGGG
rnacentral:piRNA from 1 species